rnacentral:tRNA from 1 species
UCCCUGGUGGUCAAGUGGGUAAGACACUGUGCUCACAAGGUAGGGGAUCUAGGUUCGAUCCCUGGGCAGGGAA